rnacentral:rRNA from 1 species
UGUUGACCUCGGAUCAGGUAGGAAUACCCGCUGAACUUAAGCAUAUCAAUAGACCGGAAGAAA